AUUCUACUCCCUCCAUUGCACAAUAUGCCUUCUAUUUGUCAAAAUAUAUAUGUAUCUAGACAUGUUUUAGUAUAUAGGCACAUCCAUUUUUGGACAAAUGGAAGUCAAGUAUUUUGGAACGGAGGGAGUACACA
rnacentral:pre_miRNA from 1 species